rnacentral:rRNA from 1 species
GUGAGCUCGGUUAAGGGUGCCAUAAUGGUGCUAAACCCUUUAAUAAAAUGCCGGUAGAAAUUGGCAAGACCUUGGAAGCUUUGGACGUCCGAGACGCCUUUUGGUCUCGGAUUGCCUUAAUUUUCUUGCCGUCUACCUCAACACCAUCCUCGGAUAGCACAAAGCCGAGGAAGUGUAUGCAUCUCUGGGUGAAGGCGCACUUCUUUCGGUUACCAAAUAGUUUGGUCUGCCACAAAGUAACAAAAAGUUGCUCUAAAUGAUCAAGGUGGCUCGGUAUAUCCGUACUAUAGACAAGAAUAUCAUCGAAAUAAACAAUGAUAAAAUUACUUAAGUAUUCUCGGAGCACGUGGUUCAUGAGGCGCAUGAACGUGCUCGGCGCGUUGGUGAGUCCGAACGGCAUGACAAGCCACUCGAAUAAGCCGUACCGUGUCUUGAAGGCCGUCUUCCACUCGUCGCCUUCGCGCAUCCGGAUUUGAUGGUAGCCGCUUUUAAGGUCUACCCGAGAAAAUAACUUAGCCCCGCUAAGUUCAUCGAGUAAGUCAUCGAGCCGUGGCAUCGGAAACCGAUAUUUGAUGGUAAUAUCGUUGGUAGCUCGGCUAUCCAUGCACAUGCAGUGACUUCCAUCUUUCUUUGGCACCAAGAGUGCCGGGACCACACAUGGGCUCAAGGACUCUCGGAUAUAGCCCUUAGCAAGGAGCUCUUGCACUUGCUCUUGCAAGAUCUUGCUUUCUUCCAGGUUGAGGCGGUACGGUGGCCGAUUAGGUAAUGUGGCUCCCAGUUGGAGGUCAAUGUGAUGCUCGAUGCCACGGAGCUGCGGUAUGCCAUCGGGAAGCUCUUCCAGGAAUACGUCUCGGUAUUGGUCUAGGAGGGGCCGAACUAUCUCGGGAAUAAUAUUCUCCUCAUUAGCUUCAUGCUCUCGGUGUAAGAGCAUGAUGAUCGGGCCCUCCUUCUUGACGGUAUGCCUCAAUUCUUUUCGGCUCAUAAAAGGGUCACCUUGGCCAUCACCUCUUUUCUUUUUGCCUCAUCCUUAGAAAUUUGCUCUAGUGUCAUGGGAGCUAAUAUGAUGUUGCGCCCGUUCAUCUUGAACGUAUAUUGGUUGGAGUGGCCAUUGUGCAUUACAUGUCGGUCGAAGUGCCAUGUCCGGCCGAGCAGCAAAUGGGUGGCUCUCAUCGGCACCACAUCACACAAGACCAUGUCUUUGUAGUUACCGAUCGCAAAGUCUACCCAGGUUUGUUUGGUGACCCGGACAUCCUCUCGAUCGGUAAGCCAUCGCAGCUUGUACCAAGUUGGGUGCUCGGUCAUGGCUAGCGUGAGCUUCUCGACAAGGUAGUGUGACGCGACAUUGGUGCAACUCCCGCCAUCGAUGAUCAACGAGCAAACCUUGCCUUUGAUCAAGCAUCGUCUAUGGAAAAUGUUUUCCCUUUGAUACACUUCUUGUUGCGGAUGAGUUGAAAGAACCCGUCGGAUCAUCAUCAAUAUGGGCCCAUCUUGGGCGUGACACAUCUCAUCCUCGGCCGGGGCCGGUACAUCCUCGGUCUCGUCGGUCGGCUCGUCCUCGCUCAUGAGCUUCCCCGGUUGCACAUCAGGCCUUCCUUGACCAUUGGAAAGUUGACUCAGAACUGGUACGGACAAGGGGAAUCCGACUGUUUAAUUAAAACAAAGCAUUGCAAUGGUCCUUGCGGAUGCUCACGCAAUGUGAUUUCUGUCCAGUGCUCGGAAUGUCAAACUGAAGAAAUUCAACCAAGCGUGGGUAAAAAGUGGGGGUAACUAUGACUCUCUUAAGGUAGCCAAAUGCCUCGUCAUCUAAUUAGUGACGCGCAUGAAUGGAUUAACGAGAUUCCCAUUGUCCCUAUCUACUAUCCAGCGAAACCACAACCAAGGGAAUGGGCUUGGCAGAAUCAGUGGGGAAAGAAGACCCUGUUGAGCUUGACUCUAGUCCGACUCUGUGAAAUGACUUGAGAGGUGUAGGAUAAGUGGGAGCCGGAAACGGCGAAAGUGAAAUACCACUACUUUUAAUGUUAUUUUACUUAUUCCAUGAAUCGGAAGCGAGGUAACCUCUUUUUGGACCCAAGGCCCACCUCGGUGGGUCGAUCCGGGCAGAAGACAUUGUCAGAUGGGGAGUUUGGCUGGGGCGGCACAUCUGUUAAAAGAUAACGCAGGUGUCCUAAGAUGAGCUCAACGAGAAUAGAAAUCUCGUCUGGAACAAAAGGGUAAAAGCUUGUUUGAUUUUGAUUUCCAGUACGAAUACGAACCAUGAAAGCAUGGCCUAUCAUCCUUUAGACCUUCAGAAUUUGAAGCUAGAGGUGUUAGAAAAGUUACCACAGGGAUAAUUGGCUUGUGGCAGCCAAGCGUGUAUAGCGACGUUGCUUUUUGAUCCUUCGAUGUCGGCUCUUCCUAUCAUUGUGAAGCAGAAUUCACCAAGUGUUGGAUUGUUCACCCACCAAUAGGGAACGUGAGCUGGGUUUAGAUCGUCGUGAGAAAGGUUAGUGUUACCCUACUAAUGACAGCGCCGCAAUAAUAAUUCAAUCUAGUACGAGAGGAACCGUUGAUUCGCACAAUGUUGACAGCGCGGAGCUACCGUGCGCUGGAUUAUGACUGAACGCCUCUAAGUCAGAAUCUGAGCUAGAAGCAACGCAUGCGCCAGACGCCUGAUCGCUGACCAGUAGUAGGGGCCCUCGGCCCCCAAGGGCAUGCGUCGUUGGCCAAGCCCUCACAACCGAGCCGUUGCGCGGGCC